ACCAUGUUAAAAUUUGAGUCCUUAAGCUCGAGGAAGUGAUCUACCAUCUUUACCAAAAAAAGUAGUGCCCCCAAUGGAAUUUUAGAUGGAUAAUAUUUUUUGCUCGUUUGAAAUGGUUCACGGUUCUUUUAUUUGAUGCACAAAUCUUGAAGGCCCACAAUUCUUCUUCUUCUUCUUCUUCUUCUUCUUCUUCUUCUUCUUAGUCUUCUUAGUCUUCUUCUUCUUCUUCUUCUUCUUCUUCUCCUCCUCCUCCUCCUCCUUCUUCUUCUUCUUCUUCUUAGGCUUCUUCUUCUUCUUCUUAUUAUUAUUAUUAUUAUUAUUAUUAUUAUUA
rnacentral:lncRNA from 1 species